rnacentral:rRNA from 1 species
CAGAGGGGGCAAGCGUUAUUCGGAAUUGUUGGGCCUAAAGGGCGCGUAGGCGGUGUCUUAAGUGAGAUGUGUAACCCCCGAGCUUAACUUGGGAACUGCAUCUCAGACUGGGGCGCUAGAGUACUGGAGAGGGUGGUAGAAUUCCACGUGUAGCGGUGAAAUGCGUAGAGAUGUGGAGGAAUACCAGUGGCGAAGGCGGCCACCUGGACAGUAACUGACGCUGAGGCGCGAAAGUGUGGGUAGCAAACAGGAUUAGAUACCCUGGUAGUCCACGCUGUAAACGAUGAACACUUGGUGUGGCGGGAGUUGACCCCUGCCGUGCCGGAGCUAACGCGAUAAGUGUUCCGCCUGGGGAGUACGGUCGCAAGGCUG